GUAGACCUCGGGGACCCAAGCUCUGUGAAAUGCAAAAAUCCUUGGCUACCGCUGAGCUCAGGCAGCAAAUUUCCCAGGCCACAGGAAAUGCAAAGAAAUAAUGGCCCCCAGGGUAAGGUAAACUGCCCCACGUUUCCGACACGGGGCCAUAAACUCUCCCCCUUGGAACAGAGGGAGGCCACCCGCACGGAAGGGAAUCCUCGCGAUCUGGAGCGAGUAAUGGAGCUGCCAUCUGGAGGCUGCUUUAGAGUGGAUGGAGCGCGGAGGUGGUCAAGUUUAUUUUUCAAAAGAUGACGCAACUUUCGAAACGCCUCAGCUCCCGCUCCCAAUCCCCGCACAUGGUUAGCUCCCAAGCCGUGCAGCUCCGGAGCUUUUUGCAGGGGGCCUCUUAGGAGGCUCGCGCUUUGGGAGAAGCGGGGGGGUGGUGGCGAGGAGAAGUCGGAGCUUUGAACGCAUGCGCAGCUCCGCCGUGUACGGAGCUUGAAGACUGCCCUCUGAUAUCGCCAGGCAGUGACUGAGACCUUCCCGGUGUUCUUCAAGGUUCUGGGAAUUUUCACAACAGCCACAGGACAUCUAAACACGGUAAGGACUUAAUACCAUACUUCUGGAAACAUUGGGAAAUAUUGUUCCUGGAAGAAGACAACCCUUUGAUACUUGCCUGGCUCAUCUGUCUUUACUAACUAAAUUUCUGAGAUGGACCAUUGGCUGCGGGACGAGAUCUCGGGAAGAGAGAGCAGAGAGUGGGAGGAAGGUGGUGGUGACCUAACCAGCGUGGACCCCCGCAUCCUAUGCCUUCCCACUGAGUUCGUCAUUCCUGCAGCGGGCCCCCUGUGUCUGGCUUUGGCUCCUCUUCCGUGGAGAGUCCCUUUAGUCCGGUUCCACUAUCCGACGGGGAGCGAAGGAAUCAGGACUCCACAGGACCGCCCUGGACCUAGGCGCUAGGGCAAGAGCCUACUUAACGAUCUAGGGAAAAGAGUUGGCCGCGAUUUACCAGGAUUAACCGAGGGAAGCUGGAAAGGAAGAUCUAACCGGAGCGUCCAUGAGUCCUCGAGGGCAGCUUAUUCCUUUGCAGGCGCUGGCAUCCCCCAGCCGGCUUGAGUGCUAGUUGCGUCCAGCCGCAGCUUGCUUCCGUUUACGCCGUGCAGCGAAACAAUUAGUAUCAUUACACUGGCCUGAGAGUCCAGAAUUCCCUAAGGGAAGAGGAGAGGGAGAGACUCGAGACUACCGUAGGGGACCAGUACUGUAGGGCGAAAAUACUGAUAAUUUUGAAAUUUGGGCUCAGGAUCUGCCUCAGACUGAAGGACUGUGGUCCCAGCAUCCUAGAGUCGUAGGUCCAAACGAACGCACCUAAGAACAGUUGAGGAGAAGAGACCCCGGGCCCUGGGGCCAGCUUCCUACCACUGCUCUUACCUGCUCUUGACUCACUUUCUCCUUCGUGAUGCCCCGCUCAACCCAUAGGUAAAUAGCCAGGGCCCGGGGCGGGGGAGAUACACAGCCAGCUCAGUCAGCCUACUAGCCCUAGGUCUGCAGUCUCUCUGAAACCCAAAGGGGGAUCCUGGAGCACUGCAAAGAGAAUUGUAGGCUCUGGGUUCAAAUUCCACCCACGAUGCUUACUGCCAACGUGACCUUGGACCAUUCUCUUCAUCUCACUGGACCUCAGUGAUUUCUUCAUAUGUAAAAUUAAUGGGUUCGACUAAAUGAUUCCUGGAGUCUUUUCCAGUUCUACAUCUAUGAGCCCUGAUUUUAUUCUUCUGAAUAUGAGAGGAGAGGAAAAAGAAGAGCCUAGAAGACUCAAAGUGCAUUCUAUGCCAAGUCUGUUGGCGACGAAAUCAACCACCCAUCCCGAGAGAUAGAUGGGCACUUGGAAUCUGGAGACUUUCAGAAUAUUCAAUUUUUUUGGAGGGGAGGACCUUUAAAGAAAGUAGGAGAAUUUUUUUCUUCUUUUUUAUUGUUUAAAAAUGGCCUUAGUAGGCUGGUUCAUCUUGGUGGCUAUCUCCCAACUGAGAAGACAAUUCUCUUCAGAGAUGGGUUUCAAAAACCGAUGAUUUUCCAGCUAGGCUUCAUUGUGUCAUAUAUACUUACCAUCCAUGGAUUAUCUAUUUUGUGGGUUAGCCAGUAGGCAGUGUUAAAUUCCCUACCCAUUAUUUCCCCUUACCUCUUCCCCCUCACCCCCCAGCUCUGCUCGAGGGAUGCAUGGGACUAGUUUCGCCCAAGGAACUUGCGACUAAUCCUCACAAAACCAAACCAAACCAAAAAAGCACCCUCAGAAUGUAUUACAAACAUCAUGUAAGUAUUUUUUAAAAAUAGCUACUGGUUUUAUUAGCAUGGGAAUUCAACUUUAUUUUCCUUUUCUUCCUAAUAAAAUCAAUAUAUUCUUUA